CAUUACCGAGUUAUACAACUCAUCAACCCUGUGAACAUACCUAAACGUUGCUUCGGCGGGAACAGACGGCCCCGUAACACGGGCCGCCCCCGCCAGAGGACCCCCUAACUCUGUUUCUAUAAUGUUUCUUCUGAGUAAACAAGCAAAUAAAUUAAAACUUUCAACAACGGAUCUCUUGGCUCUGGCAUCGAUGAAGAACGCAGCGAAAUGCGAUAAGUAAUGUGAAUUGCAGAAUUCAGUGAAUCAUCGAAUCUUUGAACGCACAUUGCGCCCGCCAGUAUUCUGGCGGGCAUGCCUGUUCGAGCGUCAUUACAACCCUCAGGCCCCCGGGCCUGGCGUUGGGGAUCGGCGGAGCCCCCCGUGGGCACACGCCGUCCCCCAAAUACAGUGGCGGUCCCGCCGCAGCUUCCAUUGCGUAGUAGCCAACACCUCGCAACUGGAGAGCGGCGCGGCCACGCCGUAAAACACCCAACUUCUGAAUGUUGACCU
rnacentral:rRNA from 1 species